rnacentral:lncRNA from 1 species
AUGCUUAAAGUGAAACGUCCUGCUCUUUCUAGUGUCAUUAACAUAUACUCUAUAUUGACACAUUAUUUGAGCAAUUGGAUUUCAAACAGUUUUAUUCUUAUCCUUCUUAUUCUUAUUCUUUAUCCUUAUCAACAGUUUUAUUCCUUUUUCUGUUGGGACAUCUGGGAGCAUCAAGAGAUAAGCAGACUUCUCUUUGUAGUCUGGACUGAGAGGAACACUAGGAAGUACAAGGAAUUUCCACUCAUACACUCAUGCAGAAUUAAAAUGUCUUGCUUUUCCUCCCAUGGCAUCGCUUCCUAUUCAACAGAACUGGGUCCUUCACAAUACUCAAGUUUCAACACCUCGAUUCCUGUAAAAGCACUUAUGCUGACCUCAGUCUGGAAAGGUAUGAAGGGUGCAUGUUGGUGCAGAAGGGCCACAGCUACAUCACAUACUUCUUUGUUAGAGUAUCUCUGA